rnacentral:rRNA from 1 species
UACGUAGGUGACCAGCGUUGUCCGGAUUUACUGGGCGUAAAGCGUGCGCAGGCGGUUUGUUAAGUCUGUUGUGAAAUCCCCGGGCUCAACCUGGGAAUGGCAAUGGAUACUGGCGGGCUAGAGUGUGUCAGAGGAUGGUGGAAUUCCCGGUGUAGCGGUGAAAUGCGUAGAGAUCGGGAGGAACAUCAGUGGCGAAGGCGGCCAUCUGGGACAACACUGACGCUGAAGAGCGAAAGCGUGGGGAGCGAACAGG